AUGAACGGCACAAGGAAGAAGAGCAGCGGCACGCCGCUGCUGGGCAAGUACGAGCUCGGGCGUCUGCUCGGCCGCGGCACGUUCGCCAAGGUCUACCUCGCGCACACUGUGACCGGCGGCGAGCCGGUGGCGGUGAAGGUGAUCGACAAGGCGGAGGUGAUGGGCACGGAGGGCAUGGCGCCUCGCGUGCUCCAGGAGGUGGAGGCCAUGCGCCGGCUUCGCCACCCGGGAGUGGUCCGCCUCCACGAGGUGCUCGCCACUCGCGCCAGUAUCUACCUCGUCAUGGAGCUCGCCCCCCGGGGCGACCUUCAGUCCAGGCUCGCCGCUCUGCCAAGCCACCGGUUUUCAGAGAAGGCCGCGCGGCGCGUGUUCGUGCAGCUCACGGUGGCGCUCGCCCACUGCCACGCGCGCGGCGUGACGCACCGCGACCUCAAGCCGCAGAACCUCCUCCUGGACGGCGCCGGCAACCUCAAGGUCUCCGACUUCGGCCUCUCGGCGCUCCCAGACUCGUUCCGGGAGGACGGCCGCCUCCACACCGCCUGCGGCACGGCGGCCUAUGCCGCGCCGGAGGUGCUCCGCAACAAGGCAUACGACGGCGCCAAGGCCGACGCGUGGUCCUGCGGAGUCACGCUCUUCGUCCUCGUCGCCGGCCGCCUGCCCUUCGAUGACGCUAAUAUCCCCGAUAUGUGCCGGAAGGCGUCCCGCCGGCAGUACGUGGUCCCGCCGUGGGUGUCCCCGCCAACGAGCCGACUGCUGCACCGCCUGCUCGACCCGAACCCGGAAACCCGCGUCGCCGUAGAGGCGCUGGCGGGGACGCACCCAUGGUUCGUCAAGCGCUCCCUCAGCCUCGACUCUCACCUUGACGGCCUCCUCGACAGCCAGCCGGAGCGCGCGGUGGCGUUCCGGGCGCCGUCAGUGAACGCGUUCGACAUCAUAUCCACGUCGCAGUGGCUCGAUCUGUCCGGGAUGUUCGGCGAGAGCAGGAGGAGCAAGGAGAAGCGGUUCGUGACGACGGCGUCGCCGGAGCAGACGCUGGAGCAGCUCGGCCGGGCGGGCAGGAAGCUCGGGUACGUGGUCGUGGUGGGGAAGAAAGGAAGGGAGUGCCAGCGCUGUCCUCUAGGAGGGCUGACGAUAUCGGUGGAGAUCUCGGAGCUGGAGCUGCCGCUGAUGCUCGUCGAGAUGCGGCUGGAGAUGGACGAUGGAGAGGUUCGAGUGUUUAGCUGGGAUCAGUUGAGGGUAGAGCUGGGGGAUGGUGUAGUUAGGGCUUGGGAUAGCCGUGAGGAUUUGCAACAAGUUUAG
rnacentral:rRNA from 1 species